rnacentral:rRNA from 1 species
UACAGAGGGUGCAAGCGUUAAUCGGAGUUACUGGGCGUAAAGGGCGCGUAGGUGGUUGAAUAAGUGAGAUGUGAAAUCCCUGGGCUUAACCUAGGAACUGCAUCUUAUACUGUUUGACUGGAGUACUGUAGAGGGUAGUGGAAUUUCCGGUGUAGCGGUGAAAUGCGUAGAGAUCGGAAGGAACACCAGUGGCGAAGGCGGCUACCUGGACAGAUACUGACACUGAGGCGCGAGAGCGUGGGGAGCAAACAGG